GAUGAACGCUGGCGGCGUGCCUAACACAUGCAAGUCGAGCGAUCUUCUUCGGGAGAGAGCGGCGGACGGGUGAGUAACGCGUGGGUAACCUGCCUCAUACACAUGGAUAACAUACCGAAAGGUAUGCUAAUACAAGAUGAUAUAAGAGAUUCGCAUGGAUUUCUUAUCAAAGCUUUUGCGGUAUGAGAUGGACCCGCGUCUGAUUAGCUAGUUGGUAAGGUAAUGGCUUACCAAGGCGACGAUCGGUAGCCGACCUGAGAGGGUGAUCGGCCACAUUGGAACUGAGACACGGUCCAAACUCCUACGGGAGGCAGCAGUGGGGAAUAUUGCACAAUGGGCGAAAGCCUGAUGCAGCAACGCCGCGUGAGCGAUGAAGGCCUUCGGGUCGUAAAGCUCUGUCCUCAAGGAAGAUAAUGACGGUACUUGAGGAGGAAGCCCCGGCUAACUACGUGCCAGCAGCCGCAGUAAAAC
rnacentral:rRNA from 1 species